rnacentral:rRNA from 1 species
CCAGACUCCUACGGGAGGCAGCAGUGGGGAAUAUUGCACAAUGGGCGCAAGCCUGAUGCAGCCAUGCCGCGUGUGUGAAGAAGGCCUUCGGGUUGUAAAGCACUUUCAGUCGUGAGGAAGGUAGUGUAGUUAAUAGCUGCAUUAUUUGACGUUAGCGACAGAAGAAGCACCGGCUAACUCCGUGCCAGCAGCCGCGGUAAUACGGAGGGUGCGAGCGUUAAUCGGAAUUACUGGGCGUAAAGCGCAUGCAGGUGGUUUGUUAAGUCAGAUGUGAAAGCCCGGGGCUCAACCUCGGAAUUGCAUUUGAAACUGGCAGACUAGAGUACUGUAGAGGGGGGUAGAAUUUCAGGUGUAGCGGUGAAAUGCGUAGAGAUCUGAAGGAAUACCGGUGGCGAAGGCGGCCCCCUGGACAGAUACUGACACUCAGAUGCGAAAGCGUGGGGAGCAAACAGGAUUAGAUACCCUGGUAGUCCACGCCGUAAACGAUGUCUACUUGGAGGUUGUGGCCUUGAGCCGUGGCUUUCGGAGCUAACGCGUUAAGUAGACCGCCUGGGGAGUACGGUCGCAAGAUUAAAACUCAAAUGAAUUGACGGGGGCCCGCACAAGCGGUGGAGCAUGUGGUUUAAUUCGAUGCAACGCGAAGAACCUUACCUACUCUUGACAUCCAGAGAACUUUCCAGAGAUGGAUUGGUGCCUUCGGGAACUCUGAGACAGGUGCUGCAUGGCUGUCGUCAGCUCGUGUUGUGAAAUGUUGGGUUAAGUCCCGCAACGAGCGCAACCCUUAUCCUUGUUU